CCCAUUGUGGGGGUGCUUCCUAGCCGGACAUGCUGUCACAUGACCCCAACCUGGGUCAUCUGAGACCGCCUACAGCCUCCUCUAGCCUCUGCACCACGUAUCUCCCUGCUGCUUUGUGACAAUGUGCAUGUGAGAAUUCAUCCUUAAAAGUUAUUCCAAGGUCCUUGGAAGACACAAAGUAUGGAUAGCCAGGAGUCUGCAGACAAAGAAAAUCAAAGCAAUUCAAAAAGAACAAAGGAAAUGGAAAAGAAGGAGAAAAUAAAAGCAUAUGGAUGAAUGGAGGCUUGAAGUGGAAUACAGGGUUCACAUUUGUGGGAAGUAAAAAAAGAAGGGUCUUAUAAGAGAGGGAAAAAGUUAUGUGGCUGAAACUGCAAGCAGACAGUGGCAUUUUGUAAGACAAAAUCGACAGAAACCGUUUCUCUUUAUUUGGCUGGAAGAUUUUAAGGAUCAGUGGAGGAAACGUGUAGCCAGUACGUGGCUGAAAGAGGAACUGAAAACCCCUAUGAAUGCUCUUCUCACCUCUCCCUUUCCCAGGAGGCUGUUUUCAUUCCAUGUUCCUUGGAUUUGCGGCUGGGUUGAUGGGCUAAGUGUUUGGCCAGUUCCCAUCUUCAUUACUCCAAGCUCUGAAAGGCUGUACCUGCCCAAGCUGAGAAGGUCUGAGGGCCUGAAGAGGCCACGGGACUUGAAGAUUUCUUCCCCUUCCAUUUAAGGGCGUGCACUACUGCAGGUGGUUAUACUGAGGCAGAACAAGAGAAUGCCUUAUUCUGGCUGGGUGAACUUGGCCAGGCUACUUAAGCCGUAAAGUCCUCACUUUCUCUCUUUUGAAAAAAAUAACAGCACUUGAUUGGAUUGAAGUAGUUAAAGGUAUCCGCCCAAAUCUUAAAAUAAUCUGAUGCAUUAUUUAUUAACGUCUUUACAUGCACAUGGCUGUGCUAAAUGUUAGUUUAAGAAUUUAGGAUUCUCAUAGACAAGGCCCAUAUCUUGAGGAAGGAAGAUCAACGGUCCCUAGCACUGUGUCCGGCACACUCCCUUUUGUAAAAGUAAAUUUUUAAAAACUGAGAUGAAAUUCACAUAACAGAAUUAACCAUUUUAAAAUGUAGAAUUCGGUGGCAUUUAGUACUUCCACUCACACUGUCUUCUUAAAGUGUUAGAAUAACACAGUCGGUUGGCUUGGUUCCAUUUUGUUGUAAUAACAAAAUGCUGCACUGCACCUCCACGCGUCCCUUCUUGUGAGCCUGCACUCGAGAAAUUCUCUAGGUCUGAGUCGCAAAGAAUCUACUGGGUCAUAGGAUCUACAAAUGCAUUUUCAGUUCGGCGUAUAUUGCUAAACUGUUCUGUGAAAUGGCCACCAUUUGCAUUUCCAUGGCAGCGGCUGAAGUUCCCACUUCUGUGUCUCCUGACCACCAUGGGGCUGGAUGUAGGGGAGACCAAAGAGUGGUGAAGUCCUGAACUAGCUCUAUCAGCAUCAGCAUGGAGAGAUCCCGAGAACAUCAUGAUCAUUUCUUUUAGGGCAUCAAGAAACCCUUCAUCAAUGCAAAUACACAGAUCUCUAAAGCUUCCUGAAGCCCAUUCAUUCACUCCUCUGCUAGGAGACCCGUUUACCUGGGCAGUACCAGUAAAUCUGUGAUCAAGUCUGGCAGGGGCUAGAAGAAAAGGCCUGUUAAGCUACAAUAAGGAGCUGUUUUGGCAAACGAGCAACUUUGUAAGGAGCCUCGAGAUAUCAUAGGCUCCUUGUGUGUACCAGUCUGAGAAGCUGUGCUACCUGUUCUAAUGGACUGGGGGGCCAGAAGGAAAAUGAAGCAAAUGUCAAGAGCCAAUGUGAUUUUGGAGCACCUGGAUGGCUCAGUUGGUUAAGCACCCGACUCCUGAUUUUGGCUCAGGUCAUGAUGUCAGGGUCACAAGAU